rnacentral:rRNA from 1 species
GAUGAACGCUGGCGGCGUGCCUAAUACAUGCAAGUCGAGCGAACAGACGAGGAUCUUGCUCCUCUGACGUUAGCGGCGGACGGGUGAGUAACACGUGUAUAACCUACCUAUAAGACUGGGAUAACUUCGGGAAACCGGAGCUAAUACCGGAUAAUAUAUUGAACCGCAUGGUUCAAUAGUGAAAUACGGUUUUGCUGUCACUUAUAGAUGGAUCCGCGCCGCAUUAGCUAGUUGGUAAGGUAACGGCUUACCAAGGCGACGAUGCGUAGCCGACCUGAGAGGGUGGUCGGCCACCCUGGAGCUUGGACACGGACCAGACUCCUACGGGAGGGAGCAGUAGGGAAUGUGAGGCAAUGGUCGAAAGCCUGGCGGAGCGAGGGCGCGUGUGUGAUGAAGGUCUUCGGAUCGUAAAGACCUGUUAUUAGGGAAGAACAGCUGUGUAAGUAGAUGUGGACGUCUUGACGGUACCUAGUCAGAAAGCCCCGGCUAACUACGUG